UGACCUCGGAUCAGGUAGGAGUACCCGCUGAACUUAAGCAUAUCAAUAAGCGGAGGAAAAGAAACCAACAGGGAUUGCCUCAGUAACGGCGAGUGAAGCGGCAAAAGCUCAAAUUUGAAAUCUGGCUCCAUGCGGAGCCCGAGUUGUAAUUUGGAGAGGACACUUCGGGUGCGGCCACGGCAUAAGUUCCUUGGAACAGGACGUCAUAGAGGGUGAGAAUCCCGUCUUUGGCUGCUGGACCGCGCCCAUGCGAAGUUCCUUCGACGAGUCGAGUUGUUUGGGAAUGCAGCUCUAAGUGGGUGGUAAAUUUCAUCUAAAGCUAAAUAUUGGCCGGAGACCGAUAGCGCACAAGUAGAGUGAUCGAAAGGUUAAAAGCACCUUGAAAAGGGAGUUAAAUAGCACGUGAAAUUGUUGAAAGGGAAGCGCUUGCAACCAGACUCGGUCGUGGGGGCUCAGCGGGCAUGCGUGCCCGUGUACUCCCCCAUGCUCCGGGCCAGCAUCAGUUCUGGCGGUUGGUUAAAGGCCUCUGGAAUGUAUCGUCCUCCGGGACGUCUUAUAGCCAGGGGCGCAAUGCGGCCAGCCGGGACUGAGGAACGCGCUUCGGCACGGAUGCUGGCAUAAUGGUUGUAAGCGGCCCGUCUUGAAACACGGACCAAGGAGUCUAACAUCCACGCGAGUGUUCGGGUGUCAAACCCGUGCGCGCAGUGAAAGCGAACGGAGGUGGGAGCCCGCAAGGGUGCACCAUCGACCGAUCCUGAAGUCUUCGGAUGGAUUUGAGUAAGAGCGUGGCUGUUGGGACCCGAAAGAUGGUGAACUAUGCCUGAAUAGGGUGAAGCCAGAGGAAACUCUGGUGGAGGCUCGCAGCGGUUCUGACGUGCAAAUCGAUCGUCAAAUUUGGGUAUAGG
rnacentral:ncRNA from 1 species